GACGAACGCUGGCGGCGUGGAUUAGGCAUGCAAGUCGAACGGUAUCAUCCUUUCGGGGGUGAGAGAGUGGCGAACUGGUGAGUAACACGUAGGUUAUCUACCCUCAAGACGGGGACAACCCAGGGAAACUUGGGCUAAUACCGGAUGUGAGCAACUUUUAGUUGUUUGAAAGGUGGCGUAAGCUGUCGCUUGGGGAUGAGCCUGCGUCCUAUUAGUUAGUUGGUGAGGUAACGGCUCACCUAGGCAAUGAUAGGUAGGCGGCCUUAACGGGUGGUCGCCCACACUGGGAUUGAGAUACGGCCCAGACUCCUACGGGAGGCAGCAGUCGAGAAUAGUCUACAAUGGUCGGAAGACUGAUAGUGCGACGCCGCGUGAACGAUGAAUCCCUUCGGGGUGUAAAGUUCUUUUAUAUGUGAGCAGUGCUUCUUAUAUUAACAGUAUGGGGAAGAGAUAUUAGCAUAUGAAUAAGCAACGGCUAACUCCGUGCCAGCAGCCGC
rnacentral:rRNA from 1 species